CCUACGGGUGGCAGCAGUGAGGAAUAUUGGUCAAUGGACGAGAGUCUGAACCAGCCAAGUAGCGUGAAGGAUGACUGCCCUAUGGGUUGUAAACUUCUUGUAUAUGGGAAUAAAAUGUUCCACGUGUGGGAUUUUGUAUGUACCAUAUGAAUAAGGAUCGGCUAACUCCGUGCCAGCAGCCGCGGUAAUACGGAGGAUCCGAGCGUUAUCCGGAUUUAUUGGGUUUAACGGGAGCGUAGGUGGAUUGUUAAGUCAGUGGUGAAAGUUUGCGGCUCAACCGUCAAAUUGCAGUUGAAACUGGCAGUCUUGAGUCCAGUAGAGGUGGGCGGUAUUCGUGGUGUAGCGGUGACAUGCUUCGCUCUCACGAAGAACUCCGAUUGCGAAGGCAGCUCCCUGGACUGCAACUGCCCCUGAGGCUCGAAUGUGUGGGUAUCCAACAGGAUUAGAUACCCUUGUCGUC
rnacentral:rRNA from 1 species